AAGCUUUCAUGUACACGCACACUUCUUCAAAUACUGAAUAUCUGAGUAUCUGAAGAAGUGUGCAUGCACAUGAAAGCUU